rnacentral:rRNA from 1 species
AGAGUUUGAUCCUGGCUCACCGAUGAACGUUGGCGGUGUGCCUAAUACAUGCAAGUCGAACGGAGUUAGUAGCAAUACUGGCUCAGUGGCGAACGGGUGAGUAACGCGUUGGUGAUCUGCCUUGAAGUGUGGAAUAACGUUUCGAAAGAGACGCUAAUACCGCAUGUGCUCUCGAUUUUCAGAAAGUUGAGAGUAAAGGAUUUAUUCGCUUCAAGAGGAGCCUGCGUCCCAUCAGCUGGUUGGUAGGGUAACGGCCUACCAAGGCUAUGACGGGUAGGGGACCUGAGAGGGUGGCCCCCCACAAUGGAACUGAAACACGGUCCAUACACCUACGGGUGGCAGCAGUAGGGAAUAUUAGAAAUGGACGAAAGUCUGAUCUAGCAACACCGCGUGUGCGAAGAAGGCCUUCGGGUCGUAAAGCACUUUUUGGAAGGAAUAGGAAGGAAUGUACUUCCAGAAUAAGUCUCGGCUAACUACGUGCCAGCAGCCGCGGUAAA